UACGUAGGGUGCGAGCGUUGUCCGGAAUUAUUGGGCGUAAAGAGCUUGUAGGCGGUCUGUCGCGUCUGCUGUGAAAAUCCGGGGCUCAACCCCGGACUUGCAGUGGGUACGGGCAGACUAGAGUGUGGUAGGGGAGACUGGAAUUCCUGGUGUAGCGGUGGAAUGCGCAGAUAUCAGGAGGAACACCGAUGGCGAAGGCAGAUCUCUGGGCCGUAACUGACGCUGAGGAGCGAAAGCGUGGGGAGCGAACAGG
rnacentral:rRNA from 1 species